AUUCCAAUUGGGGAAGCUCCCAUUCCAGCAAAAGAAGGAGAUCAAUUACACUUAGACAUAUACUAUGCCCAAAACCUAACAUUCAUAACUUGUAUAGAUUCUUAUUCCAAAUACUUGGUGGUCAAGGAAAUUCAAAGUAAACUAAACAUUGAAAAUAAGGUAAUGGAAAUUUUACAACACUUUCCGCUAGCAACAUCAUUAAUGACUGACAACGAACCAAGCUUUACUUCAGCACAAUUUAGAUCAUUCAUACAAAGAAGUAACUUAACUAUUUAUUAUGCUGAUCCCAGACACAGCACCUCAAAUGGUCAGGUAGAAAGGGUACAUUCCACACUAACAGAAAUAGCGCGGUGCAUCAAGGAUGAACUAAAUCUAACAGAUUAUUCAGAAAUAAUAAUAAGGGCGGCACUGAAAUAUAACCUGACGAUACAUUCAACGACCAAUCAAAUGCCAUAUGACAUAUUGUAUAACAAAAUAGAACACAAACAUAAUCCAAUAUUACUUAAGGAAGCUCAGACCAAAAUGCUUAAGAUACAUAACAAAGAUAGAAGAGAAAAAGAUUAUAAAAUAGGAGAAGUAGUCUAUGAAAAGAAAUUCGGGGAAAGAAAUAAACUUCAAUCCCGAUACAAAAAGCAGAAAAUGUAUGCGAAUAUACUAAUACUGACUUUUGUUAUAUUGACGACUGCGGAAGUAAUUGACUAUACGCAUAGUGACUAUCUAUUGCUCAAAGACGACAGAGACGUUUACACUUAUGAAACAUACGCUGAACUUUUCCAUAUUACUAAUUUGAGUUUUUAUAGAGAGAUAAUUGAUAAAGAAUCCAAAUAUGUCAACAAAUCAAUUAAUUCAGACGAUGAGUGGGAAAUAUCAAUGGACUUAAGUCUAUUAAAAUUAAUGAUUUCAGAAUUAGUUCCAAAACGGAAAGAAAGGGGAAUAAAUGAAUUAGGUACCAUUUGGAAAUGGAUAGCAGGCAGCC